GACGAACGCUGGCGGCGUGCCUAAUACAUGCAAGUCGAGCGCAGGAAACCGUCUGAACCCUUCGGGGGGACGACGGUGGAAUGAGCGGCGGACGGGUGAGUAACACGUAAAGAACCUGCCCACGGGUCUGGGAUAACCACGAGAAAUCGGGGCUAAUACCGGACGGGCCAUCGGACCGCAUGGUCCGAGGAUGAAAGGCGCUCCGGCGUCGCCCGUGGAUGGCUUUGCGGUGCAUUAGCUAGUUGGUGGGGUAACGGCCCACCAAGGCGACGAUGCAUAGCCGACCUGAGAGGGUGAUCGGCCACACUGGGACUGAGACACGGCCCAGACUCCUACGGGAGGCAGCAGUAGGGAAUCUUCCACAAUGGACGAAAGUCUGAUGGAGCAACGCCGCGUGAACGAUGAAGGCCCUCGGGUCGUAAAGUUCUGUUGUAAGGGAAGAACAAGUGCCGCAGGCAAUGGCGGCACCUUGACGGUACCUUGCGAGAAAGCCACGGCUAACUACGUGCCAGCCGCCGCGGUAA
rnacentral:rRNA from 1 species